rnacentral:rRNA from 1 species
UACGUAGGGUGCAAGCGUUAAUCGGAAUUACUGGGCGUAAAGCGUGCGCAGGCGGUUUUGCAAGUCCGGUGUGAAAUCCCCGGGCUUAACCUGGGAACCGCAUUUGUGACUGCAUAGCUGGAGUACGGCAGAGGGGGAUGGAAUUCCGCGUGUAGCAGUGAAAUGCGUAGAUAUGCGGAGGAACACCGAUGGCGAAGGCAGUCCCCUGGGCCUGUACUGACGCUCAUGCACGAAAGCGUGGGGAGCAAACAGG